AACUUGUUAGGGGAAAACAGCAUAGAGCAAUUUUCUAAUUACUUAAGAAAUCAAUCAAUUAAAAAGAAAACUCAACAAACAGUACACGAAUUUAAUUGCUUCCAUAAUAUGACAAGUAAUGGAAGCAAACAACCACCUAGGACUUCAAAUUUAAUUCAACAAUUAAACAAAACAAACAUCACAAAUAGGAGGCUCAAAAUACUAGAUCAGAAUAAAUUUACAAAUUAUAGAAGCAUGAAAUUAAGAUAAGAUAGGAAGAGAGGGGGAACAAUCCUCAAGUAAACCUGAAAGUUGAUCAUCUUACAAUAGGAAAAGGCUUAACACCAGAAAAUUAGGCUAGCGAUAACUCGACGAAACCCAAAUUUGUCCGGCAACCUUGAAUAGAACUGAACAGACCUAACGAGCAGAGCUAGCGACCUAUGAACGGCUUUAACGGAACUCCAACCCAACUGAAACGGAAUUUCCGGCGUGAAAUGGGACUCCUAUUUUUGGCGUAUUCACGGCUGAUGGGGAGUCCUUAAGGUUGCUAUUGUGUGCUCCUAGGUGAGGAAGAUGAAGGAGCUUCUUAUUCAUGGAGGUCUGCGGCCGGUUUUCAUUUUUUGGAGAAGAUGAAGAAUCAAUUCAAGGGAUCUCCUCCAUGGUCCAAACGGCUGACCAAACUGAAGAAGAAUGGCGCUGCUUGGGGGGUCUUAGAGUCUUUUAGUCGCCUGAUUUUGUCUUGUUCCUCUAAGAAGAAUGUUCAAGGGUAGGGGGAAGUCGUUUGUGACGCUGCUGCCUUCAGUGUAUUUUUUUUGUGUAUUAGCUGUCCUCU
rnacentral:lncRNA from 1 species